UAGUGUUCACUGCUCAUCAGAUUAUUCCUCCAACAAAUAAGACAGAGAACUGCCUGUUUUUUUGGUUCCCUAUCGAAGGACGGAGCUUGGAACAACAUUUAUAACGGUUUAAUGACACAAAGAGUAAAAGGUGCUGCAGCCCAUCCAUCAGCUGAAUGUUGCCAAGUAACAGCCAUCCAUGGAACAUGGAAAAAUGAAUUCACCCGGCCAGGCCCAAAUUGUCGACCCACAGAACAUGAGGAGAUGCAGAAGCUCUAACCAAGGAUUCCCAGAGAGAAAGAGUAGAGCCAUGAGACGAAGGGAGCCUGGGUCCCUAAAUCACCAUAUCGGAGCUCUUCAGCCAAAAGCUGACACUGAGCUGCUACGUGAGCAAGAGACACCUUGCCCAAUCUGAAACGAAGCCAAGCAAAGCACCAUCACCUUCUGGAAAGUGCAGAAACUGCAAUCAAGAUCAACAAAGAAAAGCACCCUUCCCAUAGAUUCAUCUCUUUGGCGUUUAAGUGUUUGGGCGAGUCUACAAAACUCAGAUUCCUCAUUUAACUAGAUGUUCCAGGUCACGGAGAUAUUCUACUAAGGCAAUUUUCAAAAGACCAUAAAACCACCACAUCAAUUUAUGCUUGCAGACAACAAAAAGAAAUCUAAUGCAUUCCUAAAAAGAAACUGACUUCAGUUGAGAAUAACUGGGAAGCUGAAUAUGACUAGAAUGGAAAUGCUAUUAUUUCCAUAUGCCAGAGAAUAUUAUUCAAUUAACAUAAAAAUAACAAGGAGAUAACAAUAUGCCUUCUUGAAAAUUGUCUUGGGUAUUCUGGGUCACUGACAAUUCCAUAUGGAUUUCAGAAUCAGUCUUGUCAAUUUCUACAAGGAAGUCAGCCAAAUUCUAAUACAGAUUGCAUUGCAUCUAUAGAUCAGUUUGGAAAUUAUUGCCAUCAAAAUUUUAAAACUUUCAACCCGUGAACAUAAGAUUCUUUUGAAAAUGCUAUAGUGCAGUAAUAUCAUCAUGGCUCACUGCAAUCUCGACUUCUCCAGCUCAAACAAUCCUCCUACCUCAGACUCCCAAGCAGUUGGGACUACAGGCACGUGUCAUUACACCCAGAUGUUAAAGGUGCUAAUGAACUGUGAAAUGGCCAAAGGCAGACAGCCAGAGGGAAAAAAGAAGAGAAGCCACAGACCUGGGUCAUCACAAAAUGAGUAAUUAGCCAUUGAAUAAUGAAUUUAAAUACGUUAAGGCUCUGCCUGCUACAUGCAUUUUUUAUUAAAAUUUUCUAGAGAUGUAGCUCAAAAUCUAUUUUCAGAAGUUCUAAAGACUUUGUUCAUUUCAUUGACUAUAGCUGAAAAGACCCACACACUCAGAAUCCUCAGUAUGGGUUUAGAAUGGAAUAUAUAUCCAUUCCUUUCAUGAAAGGAAGAUCCUUAGAUGAUAUAAGAAAUAUAAAUAUUUUGCAAGUAAUCAUAUUCCAAAUUGUAGAAAUAUUAUUUACACAGAUAUGUACCUAAUCUACACUGAAGUUAUAGAUACUGUAUUUAAACUCUUCACAUCAGCACAAGAUUUUUAUUAUACUAAUCUUUAUUACUUUGUGUGAUCCUAUCAAUAUAAGUAGCAAUUUUAGUUGUAGAUCUAUUAGUCCACAAUUAAUUUCAAAUUUUAUCAGUCUUAUGUUUAGAAAAUAAUAAAAUUUAUAAUUUAUUGCUUUGUGUUUAUGUGUGAGUGAGCACAUGCAUGAGCACACAUGUAUGUGUGUGAAUAGAUUUUAUUUUGUGGUACCAAGAACCACUGAGGCCAAAAGAAGAGAACGUGGCAGAUGGCUUAAAAUAUAUUUGCUCUCCAUAAUGAAUGUAAAUAUGAAUAUAAAAUAGGACUCCUUAGAAAUGAGUUAUUUAUUUCUAUUUUGCUGAGUCAGGAAUCACUUGCAAAAAACUAAUACUUAUAAUUUUUGGAUAUAAUUUUGACCCUGAAAAAGUACUCUACAAACAUUCUAGUUCUUAUUGUUUUCCACUCUGAGAUUUUUUUCUGGUUUUCAAGCUGAAUCACUAUUUUUUUUUUUUUUUUUUUUUUUUUGCUUGUGGAAAAGGUGUGCUUUGCAUCUCUAUCAUCUUGGAUCUCAUUUAAAAGAAAAUGAAAAGCAAUAUAUAGAUAUAUCCCUCUCUUUCCAUCUUGUUUAUAAAUUUUCAGUAUUAUUUUUUCCCGGACACUUGACAGAGUGACUGGUAACUACAUUUAUACCAUUGAUUUUUAAAUUAAGAUCUUUAGGAUAAAUGAAAUAUGCAAUUUUAAUUGUAGAUGAUCUAAAUAUUCUAGUCCAAUAUCACUGACAUAUGUCAUUAUAGAAAUAUAAACAAAUGAUUUCAUCAACUAUUGCAGGCAAUCUCUAAAAUUUAGCGUAAUGAACAUAAGUUUUAUUGUAUAGAACUCACUUUUAUGCAUUAAUGUUUUAUUUGUAUUGUCAAUGUCUUCAAUUAAAAUGGUGUUUAUUAACGUGUUCAGGUUAAACUAUUAACCAAUUGACUGUAAUACAAGUAUAUGUAUUAAUAUUAUUCAAAUAUUUAUCUCCAAAUCAUCUUCAGGGAGUAUGUUUUGAGAAUAUCCCUUGUUUGAUAACCAAGAUUCUAAACAUUGGCUGAGUUAUUUUAGCGCUGAUCACUAUUACUGGAACUUUUUUUCUCACUUAGUUAUUUUAGUAUUACCUUAAUAGAGACUCUCACUUUUCCUAGAUCUGAUAGUUCCUCCUUUGUUUGAGAUAUUAUCUUAUUGCACUUUAAUAAUAGCUAUACUCUAGACAAUCUCUUUAAAAUAAAAUAUGCUCUCCACCUUGGUAUUUUUGAUUUACCGUUGUUGUUACUAUUAUAAUUUCUACUACGACUACAGUUACUACUACUCUUGCUGAGGUGUCAUUGCAGUGAAGCAGGAGGCUGCCAAUCCCACCUAUGGAUGCUAAGAUGUGUAAUUCUGUAUGCAACCUGAUUUCCUUCCCUGGCCACAUAUAUUCUUUUUAUUGGAAUUUGGGACCUGACUUCAGGCAUACGUUUAUUCCAUGUGAGUACAGAUUCUGUAAGAUAACAGGGACCCAUGGCUUGAGGAUGCCUUUUUGGAACAGCCAUCACUACCAAGUGGACAGUUUCUCAGAGAACUACAAAGAUAAACAAUUAUGCUGACCACAAAAAGAAGAUCAAGCGAGUAGUGGACUAAACAAAUCUAAAGUUCCAGUGAGUACUGACAUUUCAUUUCAUUUAUGAAAGAUGCUGCUGUCUUCACUAACAAAGACUGUAUCCUGUGUUUUUUCCUUGUUUUAACUUAAAUUACUUUGCACUGGUUUCUGUUUCUUGAGGUUAAAUAUGCCUUAAGACUACACUUAAUGGAGCUUAAUUAUACUUUUAUAAUUUGUGAGUUAAUUGGUUGACUCGGUUAAAUUUCUAUUUUCUUUAAAAAUUUUCAAAGCUUUAUCAAUUGUUUUCACAAGGGACUUUUGGGGUUCAUUAAACUGUUCUAUAUCUUGAUUACAGUAGUGGUUAUAUAAUUCUAUGCAUUUGUCUAAAUUUAUAGAACUGUAUGCUAAAAAGAGUUAAUUUUACUGUAUGUAAAUUUAAUUUUUUUUUUUUUUUUGAGAUGGAGUAUCACUCUUUUGCCUAGGCUGGAGUGCAGUGGCGCAAUCUCGGCUCACCACAACCUUCUGUCUCCCGGGUUCAAGCAAUUCUCUUGCCUCAGUCUCCCAAGUAGCUGGGACUACAGGCGCACACACCAUGCCAGGCUAAUUUUUGUAUUUUUAGUAGAGACUGGGUUUCACUAUUUGGCCAAAUUGGUCUCGAACUCCUAACCUCAUGAUCUGCCUGCUUCGGCCUCCCAAAGUUGUAAAUCCCAAAGGAAUUACAGGCGUGAGCCAUCGUGAAAGUAUUCUUAAAGUAUGCUUUUUAAAAGGAUAUUGAAUAUACUAUCAUAUAAUUUUGAUGUCUCUAUCAGAUAUCUGAUAAAUCAAGGAAAUAUGAAAUCAGAAUUAUCAAUAUAAUUAUCACUUUUUUUGUUUUAGAAUAUGAGCUUCAUGAAAACAGGGCAUUGUCUUGCUUUAUGCUUUGCCCUGAUACUUAGCUCAUUAUAGGCACUCAAGAAAUGUCAUUGACUUAAUGAAUUAAUUAAUUCUUGAACAUUAUAGGAUAUGUAAUAAUGGCUAUCAUAUAUUAAAGGCCCAAUUUCAUCAAUCAAAAUACCAAAUACGCGUUUGAAGAAUAUAUACAAUUUUUUUACCACAUAUUUUAAACUAUAAAGACACACAGUAGGUACCAAUAUCAGUUUCCAUUUAUUUAUUUUUGAACCUUUAAGAUUCUGACCAUACCGUCUCUCUCAAAACCCUGGCCUCAGACGAUCCGCCGGCCUUGGCCUCCCAGAGUGUUGGGACUGCAGGUGUGAGCAACCGUGCCUGGCUAUCAUGUAAAACUAAAAAAAAAAAAAAAGAUUCUGACCACAAUUCUUCACAAUGUGGCUUAGAAAAUCACUCUUAUCCAGUAUGUACUUUCUUGUCAGCAUACUUUCCUUGUUAUUCAUUCAGCACAUGCUAACUAGUUUCUAACUUUGCAUCAGGUAAUGUACUGGUCCCAUAGGAUAUGGAAUACAAUGGAAUGUCAAGUUCAUGCUUCAGAAAUCUCGAUACUUGUUGAAUAAGGUUCCAUUGUCUGGACGUGCCACAGUUUAUGUAUCUAUUCUCUUACUGAGGGACUCCUUGGUUGCUUCCAAGUUUUGGCAAUUAUGAAUAAAGCUGCAUCUUUAAAUUUUCUUGAGACAGGGUCUCACUCAGUCAUCCAGAGUGGAGUGCAGCGGCUAGAUCAUGGCUUGCUGCAGCCUCCUUGACCUCCCAGGCUCAAGACAGCCUCCCACCUUACCCUUCCAAGUAGCUGGGACCACAGGUGAGAGGAUAAUUAUACACCAGGCUUGGAUAAUUUUUUUAAAAAACUUUUUGUAGAGAUGGUAUAUCCCUAUGUAGUUCAGGUUGGUCUCGACUCCUGGGC